GUGAGGAAUUUUCCGCAAUGGGCGAAAGCCUGACGGAGCAAUGCCGCGUGAAGGAUGAAGGCCUAUGGGUUGUAAACUUCUUUUCUCAGAAAAGAAUUAUGACGGUAUCUGAGGAAUAAGCAUCGGCUAACUCUGUGCCAGCAGCCGCGGUAAGACAGAGGAUGCAAGCGUUAUCCGGAAUGAUUGGGCGUAAAGCGUCUGUAGGUUGUUUAAAAAGUAUUCUGUCAAAGAUUAGGGCUUAACCCUAGAUAGGCAGAAUAAACUUUUAAGCUAAAGUUUGGUAGAGGCAGAGGGAAUUCCCGGUGGAGCGGUGAAAUGCGUAGAUAUCGGGAGGAACACCAAAGGCGAAGGCACUCUGCUGGGCCAAUACUAACACUGAGAGACGAAAGCGAGGGGAGCAAAUGGGAUUAGAUACCCGUGUAGUCC
rnacentral:rRNA from 1 species